AUGACUUAAUUACUUAAAAAACUAACGAGACAAGACCUAUUUAGUUAUGAACCUAAAAAAUAUAUUGUAUAUAAGGCAUUAUUGUUGUCCCGUUAAUUUAAGGCAUUAUUCUUGUGGUUAGUCAUAGAUGGUAUUAUUUAUUUUUUCUUUCUAAUGAGACGGAAAUAUAUUGUAUUUAUGUAAAAAAAAACGAAAGAUAUUGUAUUCAACCCCAUGCGGAUCGCCAAACAGGGUUUCCUAAGGGCAAAAUUGCAAAUUAGUAUUAUAAUAUUUUUUUUUUGCAUAAAUUAAUUUUGCACUCUAAUACAUUUUUACAUAAUUAUUUCUUAUUCUUUGUACCUUUUACUUUUUCAGUGGUCCAAUUAAUUAUUUUGCACUUUAAUGUAAGUGUCAAUGUUACUCAUUUAUCUAUCUUUCGUUCAAUUCAUAUCUACGUGACUUCUUAAUGAUCUACGAGAGUGUUUUUGGUAUAUUUUGAAUCAUAGUAUAUUGCAUUAAAUUUUAAAUAUGAUCAUAAUGUUGAGGCCUUAAGAGAAAUGCGACCCAAGACAGAAAAAAAUACAAAGUUUUUGUUUGAAAUUCUCAAUGUCACGUUUCUCAAUUAGUUUCCCCUAUGAUUGAAUAACCAUACCAAAUCUUUUGAAAAUUUUUGUGUAAUAUGAAACAAGUAGGAGUUAAGUUCCUUUCCUACAAUUUUCUAUAAAAAAUCAUUAGCCCAAAUUUUCUUUUUUUUUCUUCUUUUCAGUUAGUAAUCUAAUUUUUCAGUAAUUUAAUUUGCUUGCUAAUAAUAUAUUAAUGCCAUAGUUAUAAAUUUUCUCAAGAAUAUGUAAACAGGCUUCCUUUCAAGUUAGUAAUCGUUAGUGCCACAUAACUUUUUCUUUCAAUAUUUGGGGUUCGUGGUCUAACUACCAUGGCCAUAUUUCAAUCAUCUGAAUUUUUUUAUCUUGUAGCAUUUGCCGAGCAUAUCAUUCAUACAAAAUUGAUAGCCACACAAUUAGAUUGUAUUUGUUGGACAAUUAUAGAUGACAAAUAUGAUUUUGAAAAUAGAUCAUCCAUCUUUUAAGACAAAUGUAAUAUGAUUAUAUGCCUAUCGAUGUCUUAUUAAUCUAAUUUUGUAUGUGAAUAAUCUGCUCGGCACACUCUACAAAAUAAAUGGUUCAAGUUCUCGAUGCGAGCCCGCAAAAUAAAUGGCCCAUUCCAAUCAACAAAGCGAAGAUAAGUCUGACCUAAGACGUCAUAAGAAUAGAUGGGAAAUGAAAACAAAACUUGGAAGAAAGAAGACUUUGAACAAUGAUCACUUCCGUUCAUCUACUAUUAAACUGAAAGAUGAAAAAAGGUCAUUUGAUAGUACAAAAAUACGUAUGUGAAUCUUAAUUGAACAAAAGAAAAAUAAAUGAGCCACGUUGAUACUUGAUCUAAAGUUCGAAGGGGUUGGUUGACAUAAUUAAAAGUAGGGAUUUUCAUCCAUAACUCUAUGAGAGCACUUUUUUAGCUUAAUUAGUCCAUUUAAAAAAAAAUUAAAGCUAGAAUUCUAUUUAGCCAAAAUGAACAAAAAUACUUUUGUUACUUUGUACACCCUAAAAAAAAUUCUCCUUACACCCCAUGUUUUUUUGUACACCACUGCCAAAAUUUCUUUCUAUGCUCCAAUUGCAUCUACACUAUUGUAGUGGGCCACUUGCGCCAGCCGAUGAUUUUUUCGGUCGGUCACCGACGACUUAUAACAGUGAAAAAUUUGACUAUUUGUUAUUGUGAAAUUUCAUUAUUUGGAAUAGCUAAAUUUUACUAUUUUGAGUUCCAAAUAACGAACAUUAGAAUUUCACUGCGUUUUGUUGUGAUCGUGGUAGUGAUGGCGAUGGUGGUGGUGGAAAAUAGUAAAAAAAAUUAAAAAAUAGUUUAGCUGUUAAGAAAAAAUAGACAGUAUAAUUUUACUAUUCUAGGAAGCGACAUCAGCGGCUAUGGCAGUGGCACUGGUAGUGAACAACAGUAAAAAAAAAUUCAUAAAAUAAUUUAAUUGUUCAAAAAAGCAAACAUUACAAUUUCACUGUUCUGGGCUUUAGUAGCAGUCACAACGAUAAUGGUGGCAGCUGUAGUGAUUGUGAAAAAGAGUUAAAAAAAAAAUUAUUGUUCAAAAAAGUAAAUAAUACAAUUUUAUUGUUCUAGGUGGUGACAGUGGCGGCGACAGUGGUGGAAAAUAGUAAAAAAAAUUAUAUAUAUUUUGUUUUAUUGUUCAAAAAAGAAAACAGUACAAUUUCAUUAUUCUGGACGGUAACAACAACGAUGGCUAUGAUAGUGAUGAAAAACAGUAAAAAAAAAUUUAAAAAAUAUUUUUUAUUAUUCAAAAUAGCAAAUAAUACAAUUUCACUAUUUGGACAGCGACGGUGGCGAUAGUGGAAACGGUGGUGGUGGAAAAUAAAAUUUUUUAAAAAGUAAUUUUACUUUUCACAGCAGCAAAUAAUGAUUGUUUUAUUUUUUAUUUCAACAGUCAAGGAUAAAAUAUCUA
rnacentral:lncRNA from 1 species